UCUCCUGGAAACGGGUGGUAAUGCCGGAUGCUCCGACUCCUCGCAUGGGGUGUCGGGAAAGAUUUCAUCGGUAUGGGAUGGGGUCGCGUCCUAUCAGGUAGUCGGCGGGGUAACGGCCCACCGAGCCUACGACGGGUAGCCGGCCUGAGAGGGCGACCGGCCACAUUGGGACUGAGAUACGGCCCAGACUCCUACGGGAGGCAGCAGUGGGGAAUAUUGCACAAUGGGCGCAAGCCUGAUGCAGCGACGCCGCGUGCGGGAUGACGGCCUUCGGGUUGUAAACCGCUUUUGAUCGGGAGCAAGCCUUCGGGUGAGUGUACCUUUCGAAUAAGCACCGGCUAACUACGUGCCAGCAGCCGCGGUAAUACGUAGGGUGCAAGCGUUAUCCGGAAUUAUUGGGCGUAAAGGGCUCGUAGGCGGUUCGUCGCGUCCGGUGUGAAAGUCCAUCGCUUAACGGUGGAUCUGCGCCGGGUACGGGCGGGCUGGAGUGCGGUAGGGGAGACUGGAAUUCCCGGUGUAACGGUGGAAUGUGUAGAUAUCGGAAAGAACACCA
rnacentral:rRNA from 1 species